UCUGGGCCCAUCAACUAUUUGAUGUAGCUCUCUUCUUUUACAUGGACUUUGCUCACAGAAGAGACUAUGAAAUAUCUCUGGGCCCAGCAAAUAGGUGAUGUGACUCUUCUCUACUGCUUGGGCUCUGCUCAUGAGAAAAUUGUGAUGGAUUGCUGAACCCAGCACCUAGGUAAUGUAACUCUCUUCUCUGGAUGGAGGAAUAUUUACCAAGCAAAUGGAAAGCAAAAAAAAGCAGGAGUUGCAAUCCUAAUCUCUGAUAAAACAGACUUGAAACCAACAAAGAUCAAAAGAGACAAAGAAGGCCAUUAUGUAAUGGUAAAGGGAUCGAUGCAUCAAGAAGAACUAACUAUCCCAAAUAUAAAUGCACCCAAUACAGGAGCACCCAGAUUCAUAAAGCAAGUUCUUAGAGACCUACAAGGAGAUUUAGACUCCCACACAAUAAUAGUGGGAGACUUUAACACCCUGCUGUCAAUAUUAGACAGGUCAACGAGACAGAAAAUUAACAAGGAUAUUCAGGCCUUGAACUCAGCUCUGGACCAAGUGGACCUAAAAGACAUCUACAGAACUCUCCACCCUAAAUCAACAGAAUAUACAUUCUUCUCAGCACCUCAUUGCACUUAUUCUAAAAUUGACCACAUUAUUGGAAGUAAAACACUCCUCAGCAAAUGAAAAAGAAUGGAAAUCACAACAAACAGUCUCUCAGACCACAGUGCAAUCAAAUUAGAACUCAGGAUUAAGAAACUCACUCAAAACCGCUCAACUACAUGGAAACUGAACAACCUGCUCCUAAAUGACUACUGGGUAAAUAACGAAAUGAAGGCAGAAAUAAAGAUGUUCUUUGAAACCAAUGAGAACAAAGACACGAUGUACCAGAAUCUCUGGAACACAUUUAAAGCAGUGUGUAGAGGGAAAUUUAUAGCACUAAAUGCCCACAAGAGAAAGCAGGAAAGAUCUAAAAUCAACACCCUAACCUCAAAAUUAAAAGUACUAGAGAAGCAAGAGCAAACAAAUUCAAAAGCUAGCAGAAGACAAGAAAUAAUUAAGAUCAGAGCAGAACUGAAGGAGAUGGAGACACAAAAAACCCUUCAAAAAAUCAAUGAAUGCAGGAACUGGUGUUUUUGAAAAGAUCAACAAAAUCGAUAGGCUGCUAGCCAGACUAAUAAAGAAGAAAAGAGAGAAGAAUCAAAUAGUUGAAAUAAAAAAUGAUAAAGGGGAUAUCACGACUGAUCCCACAGAAAUGCAAGGUGCUGGAACUACAGGCAUGAGCCACCGUGCCUGGCCAAAUUCUCACAAUCUUUACCUAAUUCAAACAAUAUAAUUCUAACGUUAUCAGAAAUCUGUGCUCAACUCAUCUGGGCCUUUUCCAUCUUUUCAUGAACCUCCUUGAAUACACAGUACUCUAGGAUUUUUCAUGCUUUUAAAGUCUUUAGAAACUACAUCAGAAUUAAGCCAUUAACUGUGGAAAUGACUUUACAUGGUUAUAAAGAAACAAAUUAAAAGAAAUUGAUUAUAUCUGUUGCCUACAAUAAUUUAUCAUAAUAACCAUAAUUAUGAAUAAGAGCAUAUACUCAGAUACAUUAGAGUUUUAGAAAUUUCAUACAAUUUUGACAUAAAUAUUAAUAACAUAUUUAUUAAAAUAUAAGUCGAAGGAGGUCAAAUAUAUAGAUAUAGUUUUAAGACAGAAUCUCGCUCAGUCACCCAGGCUAGAGAGUAAUGUCACAAUCUCAGCUCACUGGAACCUCUGCCUCCUGAAUUCAAGCGAUUCUCCUGCCUCAGCCUCCUGAGUUGCUGGGAUUACAGGCACCCACCACCACAUCUG
rnacentral:lncRNA from 1 species